GUUGAAACAGGCCCCUAAGCCCUCACGUCCAGCAACACUCAGCAGCACUCAGCACAUGUCUCCAACUGCCAGCACGGAGAAAGAGACGCGGUCAAUCACACCGGACAGCAGAGGAGAGAGGAACGAGCGCUGGGGCAGCGCUUACAGACAGACAGACUCAAAUACAGGCCUCUCAAUGACAAAUGACCUUUACAAAGCUCCUCAAAGUUGACUGUUUCCUUCACCUGUCAGCGCGGAUAUGCACGGAGGAGCAGUCCGUUGGUGUCACGUGACUUUGGCCAUGCGGACACUUAUGACCCUUGUGGAUGCGAACAGAAAAGAUGCGACCGCUCAUCUCAAGCCGAGCCGUAUCGUCUCUCCAUCUGACACUCCAACCGUCCCAGCCAGUGUCUGGAGAAGCUCCGAUGAAGCACUCGAGGCCCCCCAUCUCUCAUCCUCUGGGCUGCAGGGCGGCAGGAACCCUGGGGAUUGAAAGUCAAUGAAACCAGGCCUAAUUUAGCCUCCCCUGCUCGCCAAGCUGCCAGAGUGAGACUCCUUCCCUUUUUAGGGCUCCCUGGACUCUGCAGUCUGCAAGUGGCAUUGCAGCAUUCCUGGCUACGCUAAGGACCUGGAGAGAGAGAGAGAGAGAGGGAGAGAGAGAGAGACGUGAGAAGUGAGGCGACAGUCAGACAUAUCUUAUAUGGACGCUCAGUUUGAAAUAUUACGUAGGUCUAAAAGUCAAAACAUACACGUGGAAACUGUUUACAUGUCAAUGUUUUAUUGUGAUUCCUAUAACUCACAUUGUAAGCUCAUUUAAUCAGUCAGCUGGGACACUUUCACGUUCACCUUAUCUUUACACCACUUUCAGUAGAUAGAUGGGAAACUUCUUCCAGAUGACUGCGGCACGUUGCCCACCACAACACUGUAAUUAGGAGUGCGUCUAACCUUGGUGGGAGACUGGUUUACACAACCCACUCAGGCAGGGCCUGACAUGGUGCCAUGUUAUCUUUAAUGACCUGGGUCUCCACUGAAACUCGAUGCUGCCAGUUAGGAACGCUAUUUUCUCUUCAUCCUGAUCUGGCUGAUUUCCUUGUGCUGCAGCGAACAAGAGAGAGAGAGAGAGAGAAAGACCACCAUCAUUUCCACUAACACAAGGCGCAGCUUUAUUAUAUUUUAGGAAUAAAAUAUUUAUAAAGGAAUAAAUUGAUUUUCUAGCAACGAUUUUGGUACAAACAAACCCAUAACUAUAAGUGUAUGAUUUACCGCGUCUAAUAUUUUCUUUAAAAAAAUAACGCGUUCCAAAUAAUAUAAAAACGCAACAUGUUAUUGGGCUGGUUGAGGCCGCGUUAAAAUGAAAAUGAUGGACAGUAUGCUAGUUAUUGUAUUUAAAAUAAAUGGAUUAGAUGAGGAUUACUUGUCGAGUCUCCACUCCCUUCCCUCCCUUUUGUUUUCUGCUUGUGAUACACACGACUUACACAAGUCAGUGAUCACAUAAGCCAUGGUACAGAAUAACCAAUUGGAUUAUCUAUGCUGGAGAAACUAAGUCUCAUCUUUGCCUCCCAGCUACUGUGGGAGCACACAUAUACGUGGCUGCCUUUUUACUGCAAGUGUGCGGAAUAACCCUGAAAAAAGAAAGAUUCAGACUGACGCUAUCCCAUUAGUCUACUCGAGGUCUGUCUGACCACCCUGCAUAAUGAGACAAAGGCUACUACGGCAAAAACCAUUAGUAACUGUUUUAUGAAGAGAAUUAUUCAUUCCUGUCUCGUGUCACGCACAAAUAUUAAUUAAAUUACCCUCCUCUUGCAGGAAUUACGUUUUAAAGCUUUGAAAGAAACUUUGGUUUUUGAGUCAACUCCUCUAUCUAACUGUUUUUAUUGUUUUAUAAAUGGUUGGUAUCUUGCCUCUUCCACAGGCGACUCCAGACUUUUUACCCCCACAGUGCAGUUCUCUGGAAAUCCUUGCAGCUCCUUGUUCAAUGAAAAGCUCAGUCUGCAUCAUCACCUAAACAUGCAAUGAAAUUAUAAUUCGAGGGUAUUAAGUGACACCAACUAAAAAUUAAAUUACAGUUUUCUGUUGGUAUUGAAGAUUUUCUUGUGCUGCCAGCACACUUUCAGAUAACAGCCAGCGGUACAGAAGGAUUUAAUAAUAAACAACUAAU